UGCAAGUUGAGCGCUGAAGGUUGGUACUUGUACCAACUGGAUGAGCAGCGAACGGGUGAGUAACGCGUGGGGAAUCUGCCUUUGAGCGGGGGACAACAUUUGGAAACGAAUGCUAAUACCGCAUAAAAACUUUAAACACAAGUUUUAAGUUUGAAAGAUGCAAUUGCAUCACUCAAAGAUGAUCCCGCGUUGUAUUAGCUAGUUGGUGAGGUAAAGGCUCACCAAGGCGAUGAUACAUAGCCGACCUGAGAGGGUGAUCGGCCACAUUGGGACUGAGACACGGCCCAAACUCCUACGGGAGGCAGCAGUAGGGAAUCUUCGGCAAUGGACGAAAGUCUGACCGAGCAACGCCGCGUGAGUGAAGAAGGUUUUCGGAUCGUAAAACUCUGUUGGUAGAGAAGAACGUUGGUGAGAGUGGAAAGCUCAUCAAGUGACGGUAACUACCCAGAAAGGGACGGCUAACUACGUGCCAGCAGCCGCGGUAAUACGUAGGUCCCGAGCGUUGUCCGGAUUUAUUGGGCGUAAAGCGAGCGCAGGUGGUUUAUUAAGUCUGGUGUAAAAGGCAGUGGCUCAACCAUUGUAUGCAUUGGAAACUGGUAGACUUGAGUGCAGGAGAGGAGAGUGGAAUUCCAUGUGUAGCGGUGAAAUGCGUAGA
rnacentral:rRNA from 1 species